rnacentral:piRNA from 1 species
CACACUGAACCGCUACAAGAGGG